GUCUUGAUAGUAUAAACAUUACAAUGGCCUUGUAAGCCAGAAAUGAAGUAAUAAACUUCUCAAGACA
rnacentral:tRNA from 1 species